rnacentral:rRNA from 1 species
UACAGAGGUCCCAAGCGUUGUUCGGAUUCAUUGGGCGUAAAGGGUGCGUAGGCGGCGCGGUAAGUCGGGUGUGAAAUCUCGGGGCUUAACUCCGAAACUGCAUUCGAUACUGCCGUGCUUGAGGACUGGAGAGGAGACUGGAAUUUACGGUGUAGCGGUGAAAUGCGUAGAUAUCAGGAGGAACACCGAUGGCGAAGGCAGGUCUCUGGGCUGACACUGACGCUCAUGCACGAAAGCGUGGGGAGCAAACAGG